AUUGAACGCUGGCGGCAGGCCUAACACAUGCAAGUCGAACGAGUGGAGGACGGGUGAGUAAUGUCUGGGAAACUGCCCGUUGGAGGGGGAUCACUACUGGAAACGGUUGCUCAUACCGCAUAACAUCGGAUUUGCCCAGAUGGGAUUAGCUGGUCGGUGAGGUAACGGCGCACCUAGGCGACGAUCCCUAGAUGAUCUGAGAGGAUGACCAGCCACACUGGAACUGAGACACUGGCCAGACUCCGACGGGAGGCAGCAGUGGGGAAUAUUGCACAAUGGGCGAAAGUCUGAUGGAGCCAUGCCGCGUGUAUGAAGAAGGCCUUCGGGUUGUAAAGUACUGUCAGCGGGGAAGCGUUACCCGCAGAAGAAGCACCGGCUAACUCCGUGCCAGCAGCCGCGGUAAUAC
rnacentral:rRNA from 1 species